AGAAUACGACCUUCAAGGGUUCAAGGCAGGGCAACACAUACACACGGGCUCUCGCUGUCUCUCUCUUUACAUAUAAGUUGCAGGUGUGAAUGGAGGGCGUCUAGCAUUUCAACUGGUAGGUUGUGGAUAUGGAUGCUGCUUUACUCGUUUUGAAGAUUUCUCUCUUUUAGCCAGAAGUUUGGAGAUGAAGGCCUAUUUUCCAAAGGGAAAGUCUACAUGAGAAGGUCAUGAUUACCCCCAAACUGUAAGAUGUGGAAUGGUAUGGGAAGGUUAUGAUCACCCCUAACUAACUAUAAGAGGUGGAACGCCAGGGGUGUACCAUUCAUUGACUGUGGUCCAAGUCGGAGAAAUUUUUAUUGAACUUUCUUAUAAGGAAUGGCACGACCUUACCUGCCUGAUUUCAUGUUUAGUGGUUAGGGAUGAAUGCGACUUUUUUGUACCAAAAUUGGAUGGCUUGUAGCCUAGAUUACCAUUUUUGUAUGGUGAUGAAGAAUUUUCUUUUUUGA